UACAGAGGGGCAAGCGUUGUUCGGAAUUACUGGGCGUAAAGGGCGCGUAGGCGGCCCGCUAAGUCGAACGUGAAAUCCCCGAGCUCAACUCGGGAACUGCGUCCGAUACUGGCGGGCUUGAAUCCGGGAGAGGGAUGCGGAAUUCCAGGUGUAGCGGUGAAAUGACGUAGAUAUCUGGAGGAAUACCGGUGGCGAAGGCGGCAUCCUGGACCGAGAUUGACGCUGAUGAGCGAAAGCUAGGGGAGCAAACGGGG
rnacentral:rRNA from 1 species